AGCUUGCUCCAUGAUUCAGCGGCGGACGGGUGAGUAAUGCCUAGGAAUCUGCCUGGUAGUGGGGGACAACGUUUCGAAAGGAACGCUAAUACCGCAUACGUCCUACGGGAGAAAGCAGGGGACCUUCGGGCCUUGCGCUAUCAGAUGAGCCUAGGUCGGAUUAGCUAGUUGGUGAGGUAAAGGCUCACCAAGGCGACGAUCCGUAACUGGUCUGAGAGGAUGAUCAGUCACACUGGAACUGAGACACGGUCCAGACUCCUACGGGAGGCAGCAGUGGGGAAUAUUGGACAAUGGGCGAAAGCCUGAUCCAGCCAUGCCGCGUGUGUGAAGAAGGUCUUCGGAUUGUAAAGCACUUUAAGUUGGGAGGAAGGGCAGUAAGUUAAUACCUUGCUGUUUUGACGUUACCGACAGAAUAAGCACCGGCUAACUUCGUGCCAGCAGCCGCGGUAAUACGGAGGG
rnacentral:rRNA from 1 species